rnacentral:rRNA from 1 species
AUUGAACGCUGGCGGCAUGCCUAACACAUGCAAGUCGAGCGGACGAACGGGGCUUUCGCUUGGAUGCAGCUACGGACGGGCGAGUGAUGCAUAGGAAGCUGCCCUGCCGUUGGGGAUAACGUACGUUAACGGGAGCUGAGAUCGCAUCCGUCCAUAUGGUGAAAGGGGGGGUUCUACAGACAUAGCGCGAUUAGAUGAGCCUAGUUCGGAUUAGCUAGUUGGUUGGGUAAAGGCCUACCAAGGCGACGAUCCAUAACUGGUCUGAGAGGAUGAUCAGCCACACUGGAACUGAGACACGGUCCAGACUCCUACGGGAGGCAGCAGUGGGGAAUCUUGGGCAAUGGGCGAAAGCCUGAUCCAGCCAUGCCGCGUGUGUGAAGAAGGUCUUCGGAUUGUAAAGCACUUUUAGUAGGGAAGAAGAGCUGUAUGUUAAUAUGUUGCUGUCUUGACGGUACCUAAAGAAUAAGCACCGGCUAACUUCGUG